GACCUAAUGGCAAAACGGUAUUGCGUCCGUGCUUCAUAAGAUAGCAGUGAGUGUCUCGCGGAAGUCCCCGGUUCGAGCCCGGGUUAGGUCA